rnacentral:tRNA from 1 species
GGGAAUGUGGCUUAGUGGUAGAGUGCUUGCUUAUCAUGCAUGAAAUCCUGGGUUUGAUUCCUCAGUACCA